rnacentral:rRNA from 1 species
UACGUAGGGUGCGAGCGUUAAUCGGAAUUACUGGGCGUAAAGCGCGCGCAGGCGGUUUUGUAAGCCAGAUGUGAAAUCCCCGGGCUCAACCUGGGAAUGGCAUUUGGGACUGCAAGGCUCGAGUGCGGCAGAGGAGACUGGAAUUCCUGGUGUAGCAGUGAAAUGCGUAGAUAUCAGGAGGAAUACCGAUGGCGAAGGCAGGUCUCUGGGCUGACACUGACGCUCAUGCACGAAAGCGUGGGGAGCAAACAGG